rnacentral:lncRNA from 1 species
CUCUAGAAGGAGGACAUGGAAUCUUAAAAUGGGGACCAUCACCACUACCGCCAAUACCAAUUGGUGUGUCCUCGGGCUCCAGCCUCAAUGGCGUCCCUUCUAUUUCUCCCCAUGUAAUGAAUGGUGAUUCAUCCACACCUGGUGCAGGUGAGGGCGUUUUCACAUAACUAUACCCAUUAUCUGCUCUCUUUCUAGAUUCCACAUAAAAUGGAUUCGGCGUCUUCCUCAAAUCCUCUAAAUCAUACUUCUUAGACUUAUCCCCUUCCCUCUCUGACAAUGAUAAUGGUACAGGAGUAGCACCUGGAAUGGGGGUAUACAAUACUGCAACAGUAUCCUCAUCUUUCGGCCUAGAAUCCAUCAAUUUACCAUGAAACCUAGUGUUUGUGAGGUUAACUUCCUUUGUCAAACCGUUAAGCCUCUCUGCCCGUUCCUCCUCGGUC